rnacentral:siRNA from 1 species
UGGCAAGCUCUCAUGUGCUGA